ensembl:lncRNA LINC03057 long intergenic non-protein coding RNA 3057
CUCCUCCUGGCUGCCCAGGAAGUAGUGUCUUCUUUUGCAAGCUGGGGGAGGGGUUUAAAGAUGCUGGCGCUGCCCUCUAGCCGGCUGCUGGGGACAUCAAAGGAGAUUCGGGCUGUGGAAGGCUCCCUAGCGUCGGAGAUGGAGUUAGGAGAGGGCGCCAAAGGCGACGUGCCGGCCGCCAGCUCCAGGCCGAGCCCCGAGCGCCUGCAGGAACACGCCCCUUCACCCGGCGCGGGACGCAGAGCUGCGAGAGAAUCUUGUUCAGCGCGGACUCAACGCCAGGGCGCCGCCUAGAGGUUGGUCUCUGUCUCGGCCUCACCCGCCGGGAGACCACAGAGCUGCUUCCCCAGCCGCCCGCCGCCAGAAAUUGGAAAAAAAA